rnacentral:rRNA from 1 species
AGAACGAACGCUGGCGGCAGGCCUAACACAUGCAAGUCGAACGCCGUAGCAAUACGGAGUGGCAGACGGGUGAGUAACACGUGGGAACGUACCCUUCGGUUCGGGAUAACUCAGGGAAACUUGAGCUAAUACCGGAUACGUCCGAGAGGAGAAAGAUUUAUCGCCGAGGGAUCGGCCCGCGUCUGAUUAGCUUGUUGGUGAGGUAACGGCUCACCAAGGCGACGAUCAGUAGCUGGUCGAGAGGAUGAUCAGCCACAUUGGGACUGAGACACGGCCCAAACUCCUACGGGAGGCAGCAGUGGGGAAUAUUGGACAAUGGGCGCAAGCCUGAUCCAGCCAUGCCGCGUGAGUGAUGAAGGCCCUAGGGUUGUAAAGCUCUUUUUACCCGGGAAGAUAAUGACUGUACCGGGAGAAUAAGCCCCGGCUAACUUCGUGCCAGCCGCCGC